UGUGUUUGCAUAUGUGUCCGUCCUCUGUGCUCCAGCCGUUAAGAGGCCAGUGUUGAUCAGUGUGUGUCCAGGCCUUUCACAGCCACUGACACACCAACAACACAAUGAUGAUGUCCCUCAUGUUCCUGCUGGCCACCCUGGGGCUCCUUGUUCAGGGUUCAUCAGGAGAUAUUAUCCUGACUCAGACUCCCAAAGCUCAGUCUUUUGUUCCAGGAAACACUGUUUCCAUCAGAUGUAACGUCAACCCAAGUCCUAGUUAUUGUUUCAACUGGUACCGUCAGAAACCUGGAGAAGCUCCUACACUGCUAAUUUAUUGUGCUACAAACCGUCAGUCUGGAAUUUCCAGUCGUUUCAGUGGAAGUGGAUCUGGAUCUGACUACACUCUGACCAUCAGUGAUGUUCAGGCUGAAGAUGCAGGAGUUUAUUACUGUCAGAGUGGACACUCUAUCAACAGUCAGUAUGUGUGGACGUUCGGUGGAGGAACCAGACUGGAGAUAAACUUGGGUCGAGUGGAGCCCACCCUGACGGUGCUGCCCCCCUCCAGAGAGGAGCUGCAGCAGGGGAAGGUCACGCUCAUGUGCCUGGCCAACAAGGGCUUCCCCUCAGACUGGAGUCUGUCCUGGAAGGUGGACUGCAGCGGCGGCGGCGGCGGAUGGGAGGAGAGCAGGAGCCCCGCGGUGCUGCAGAAGGACGGCCACUACAGCUGGAGCAGCACCCUGAGGCUCCCUGCAGACCAGUGGAGGAAGGUGGGCUCUGUGACCUGUGAGGCCACCCAGGGCUCCCAGUCUGCACUCUCACACACACUGAGGACACACCAGUGUUCCCAGUACUGAGCCCACUCACUGGGGAUCACCUACUGCUCUGACUCUGCUCAUCAGCUCACUCUGUCUCUCCAACUCUCUGGCUUUGUGUCAUUUCAACACUUUGAACAGCAAACAUUUUCAGGCUUCUCUCACUGCUGCAAUAUUGUUUCAGUGUUUGACCACAAAUAAACUGUUUCUACAUCAAA